UCAACGGAGAGUUUGAUCCUGGCUCAGGACGAACGCUGGCGGCGUGCUUAACACAUGCAAGUCGAGCGGUAAGGCCCUUCGGGGUACACGAGCGGCGAACGGGUGAGUAACACGUGG
rnacentral:rRNA from 1 species